GACAGAGGGUGCAAACGUUGUUCGGAAUUACUGGGCGUAAAGCGCGUGUAGGCGGCUCGGCAAGUCGGGUGUGAAAGCCCUGGGCUUAACCUAGGAAGUGCACUCGAAACUGCCAAGCUUGAGUUCUGGAGAGGGAAGGCGGAAUUCUCGGUGUAGAGGUGAAAUUCGUAGAUAUCUGGAGGAACACCGGUGGCGAAGGCGGCGAUCCUGGACCGACACUGACGCUGAGGCACGGAAAGCGUGGGGAGCAAACAGGG
rnacentral:rRNA from 1 species